GAUGAACGCUGGCGGCGUGCCUAAUACAUGCAAGUCGAGCGAACAGACGAGGAGCUUGCUCCUCUGACGUUAGCGGCGGACGGGUGAGUAACACGUGGAUAACCUACCUAUAAGACUGGGAUAACUUCGGGAAACCGGAGCUAAUACCGGAUAAUAUAUUGAACCGCAUGGUUCAAUAGUGAAAGACGGUUUUGCUGUCACUUAUAGAUGGAUCCGCGCCGCAUUAGCUAGUUGGUAAGGUAACGGCUUACCAAGGCGACGAUGCGUAGCCGACCUGAGAGGGUGAUCGGCCACACUGGAACUGAGACACGGUCCAGACUCCUACGGGAGGCAGCAGUAGGGAAUCGUCCGCAAUGGGCGAAAGCCUGACGGAGCAACGCCGCGUGAGUGAUGAAGGUCUUCGGAUCGUAAAACUCUGUUAUUAGGGAAGAACAAAUGUGAAAGUAACUAUGCACGUCUUGACGGUACCUAAUCAGAAAGCCACGGCUAACUACGUG
rnacentral:rRNA from 1 species